UAAGGGAUAUUGCACAAUGGGGGAAACCCUGAUGCAGCAACGCCGCGUGGGUGAAGAAGGCCUUCGGGUCGUAAAACCCUUUUCUAGGGGAAGAGAUAGGACAGUACCCUAGGAAUAAGUCUCGGCUAACUACGUGCCAGCAGCCGCGGUAAGACGUAGGAGGCGAGCGUUAUCCGGAUUUAUUGGGCGUAACGGGCAAGUAGGCGGUUGUCAAAGUUGGGCGUGACAUCUCUCGGCUUAACUGAGAGGGGUCGUUCAAAACGAGGCAACUAGAGGGCAGAAGAGGAAAGCGGAACUCCUGAUGUAGCGGUGGAAUGCGCAGAUAUCAGGAGGAAUACCAGUGGCGAAGGCGGCUUUCUGGUCUGCACCUGACGCUGAGAGGCGAAGGCCAGGGUAGCGAACG
rnacentral:rRNA from 1 species